rnacentral:tRNA from 1 species
GGAUGCCGUGGUGCAGCAUGUCGGGGUUGGUCAGCACGAACCGGGAGUGCCGCCGGAUCCACUCCCGUUCGGCGCGGGGGGUGUCCCC